CUCCUUCUGUCUCCUCUCGGUGAAACAUUUCUGACAUUCCUCGUCAGGCCGUUGGGAAAGACGAGGGCGUUCUUCCACAUCCAAAUGACUGUUCAGACGUGGACGUCAGCCAGAGGUCUCCAUGUUCAGGCAACAACAACAGGAGGCGCAGGAGUGUGUCCACGGUCACAUGACUACAUGAAGCUACAGUCAGAAUAUUCACGAUUACUCGGCCAAAGAGUACAUGAUUACGGUACUUGACCGUAUCAUCACAUCCUGCUCCCGUCUCUGUUUUCAUUUGAAACAAACUCUUCCUCCACUAAUGAACUGCUGCAGGCGCCACGUUAAACGCGUUCCAGCGGCUCAAACGGCAGCGUUCCUUCAUUUCCUGGGAAGUUUUUAAUGUGGAACAUCUGCUCUGGAGCUUCAUUGAGAAUCUGGCUGACACCGUUUCACUUUACAAUCUGUUUGAGUCCCGACAUUUAUCUGGUCAGUUUUGGUGAAGACGGUGACGGGGAGUAAUCAGCCUUAGAGUGCAUUCACACCAGGAUUCACACCAGGAUUCACACAGUUGGCUCGUCUGGAUGUAGAAAGAGGUCAACGACAACAACAACGACCAGAUUACUGCACUUUAGAGUACAACUCCUCACAUGUACAGUACACGUCGUCUCCACCAGAACCACAGAUUUCAGUGAAUCAGACACACGUGACCAGUUCAGUCAUGCUUCAACUUCCUGCCUGGUGGAAAACAACAAACAAACGAUGAAGAAGCAGCAGCAGCACGUCGUCAACAGUAGGAGACUUUGGAAAAAAUGAAAAACUUCCCGUCUUUUUGUCCGUGGACCAGGACCAGAACAAAGGUCCAGUCUCUGGUCCUAAUCGAGCUGUAACUUGGUGAGGAGGUCGACGACGUCCUGCAGACCAACAAAGACUCACUCUGUCACUGCAGCUCAAACAAGGAAGACAAAAACUGUCAACUGCAUGUGAUGGAAUUGAAUUUGUCCCGUUUCCUAAUGAAAAACAUCCAGGAGGUUUUAGUCUCAGGAAGAGCAUGGACUGUCGGCCAAUCAGAGCACGUACAUAAGAUGUGGUGUGAAAAGACUCGUGACUCGUCGUCCACUUGUUUGGACGGGAAUCCGACCCAAGACUUUGUGAGAGGACAUUAGUCAAGAGCUGCACGUCCUGACACGAGGCUCCUGACGUCUCAGCAGCUGUUCGUGUCACAUGACUGCGUUAAGGUAUCUUCACCGCGUCUGUUCCUUCCCACGUAAGUACGACCCAAAAACGAGAGGAAUGUGAUAAACUGAGAAGAAGCCCCCGGGGCAGGAUGGGUAAUAACACCGCAGCUCCUCACCCGACCUCCUGGAACCGCCGUUGUCGUGGAGACAGGAUGACGGUCAUUAUGUGGUUGUUUGCUGCUGAUUUGCUGCUUGUUGUCUGACCUUAUUUUUAGGAAGGCCCCUUUAAUUAGACCGUGGUCCUUAUUAUGAGUGUCAGGUCAGUGGGACAUACCAGAGCUGGGACUAUUACAAUGAAGAAGCCUGCUGCUGGGAGGGGGCGAGGGGGAGGAGGGUGAAGUCAGGGGGGGGCGUUGGCCUCCAUGACCUGAAAGACUCAGCCUUCAUGUUCAGUGUUUUCAUCCUCGUAGAUGAAACUCAGAUUCUCUAGAUUUGGAAAAUAGACGAUGAAACAUGAUGGAAAAACUGACUGUGGGUCAAUAUGGGCUCUGGGCCACAAAGUGGUCCUUUAGGCUGGACUCACUCCAGGACCAGUUGUUCCUUCACCUCCCAACAGCCACAGAAUCUGGACUUCAAGAAUGAUGGCCCUGGUGUGAGUGCGCCCCUAGUGGCAGGUUCAACGUCACACUGACUGACUCUGGUUCAGAUAUAUUUCUGUCUAUUUCUCACUUCCUGCUCGAUCGUUGCCAUGGUUACGUAGAGCCAGCCUGACCUUACUGACAUUUGAUUUAAACACUAUUGAAAUGUCAAAACAUCGCUGUAAUUACUCAAAUACUUCUUCAGAUUUCGAGUGGUUUCAGAAUCCUCAUCAGUUCUGAGACACAGCGACUGCAGAGGAGAGAACGCUGUUGUUUGUUUGUAAACUCUGGUCCGCUUCACAGAAGUGUUUCUUCCGAUACAAACAGUUUUCUUAAUGAGGGUUGUAGCGUGGACGUAGCCUCUCCAAUUAACCUCCACCAUCAGGGGGCGCCUGCUUUGUGCAACAAAACAAAAAGUAAAAACUCUUGGCUUGAACCGUGUAGCAAAGACUGGUUCAUCAGCAGACCACCCAGACUGACACACACACACACACACACACACACACACAGAGUGUAUUGUUCACAUGCCUGGAGUCAGUCCAGGAGAACAGAUCUCACUCCACUCCAUCACUGUCGGAACAAUUAGCACGGGGGCUGACCUUUGACCCAGUGGGCAGCAGUGGUCCAGAGAACACAGAGCCAGGAGUUUAACACACUUCUGAAGACAAACAAAGAGUCCAGGUUUUUUAAGAGAGUGCCUCGUUGGCUCCAGCUCACAGGAAGUGGUCUCUGUUCGACUGCUGCCGCCUGGAGAUCAAAGGCAACGACAACAACUCAGGGUUAAAGCCCGAGCAGCCGAGGCUCCAGUUCAUCAGGGUUAAAACAUAUAUAUAUGUUUAUGAUUUACCAGCUUGAUAUAUUUUUGUGUUUUACCCCAAACUAUAAUAAAAUAAAAAAUAUAAAUACAUACACUACAUCUGUGCCGAUCAGACCCUUGGACUGCACAUCGAUCUUCUUGAAAUCACUUGUAAACAAAGCUGAAUUGAACUGAAAUAAAAACCAUUAGCGUCAGUUUUAGGGAUCGGUUCCUUUGGUUCAACUUUUCCCUGAAACUGAAUCAAACAUA